GGGUUCUCUGCCCCUGCGGGGAUGGAGCGACAGAAGUUUUGAGAAUUCAAGAGAAGGUCACGGCGAGAUGAGCCGUUUAUCAUCACGAUAGGUGUCAAGUGGA
rnacentral:rRNA from 2 species